UGCCCAAUAGCCAAGUUGGUAAGGCAGUGGACUCUGGAUCCAUAAUUUCGAAGGUUCGAAUCCUUCUUGGGCAACCA
rnacentral:tRNA from 1 species